GACGAACGCUGGCGGCGUGCUUAACACAUGCAGGUCGAACGGAAAGGCCCCCUUGUGGGGUACUCGAGUGGCGAACGGGUGAGUAACACGUGAGUAACCUACCCUUGACUUUGGGAUAACUUCAGGAAACUGGGGCUAAUACCGGAUAGGAGCUCCUGCUGCAUGGUGGGGGUUGGAAAGUUUCGGCGGUUGGGGAUGGACUCGCGGCUUAUCAGCUUGUUGGUGGGGUAGUGGCUCACCAAGGCUUUGACGGGUAGCCGGCCUGAGAGGGUGACCGGCCACAUUGGGACUGAGAUACGGCCCAGACUCCUACGGGAGGCAGCAGUGGGGAAUAUUGCACAAUGGGCGGAAGCCUGAUGCAGCAACGCCGCGUGCGGGAUGACGGCCUUCGGGUUGUAAACCGCUUUCGCCUGUGACGAAGCGUGAGUGACGGUAAUGGGUAAAGAAGCACCGGCUAACUACGUG
rnacentral:rRNA from 1 species